rnacentral:lncRNA from 1 species
UAGCCUCUCAUCAAAUUGUCUAUAUAAGCAUCUCUAUCUCUCUCUCUCUCUGUAUGGUUCAUGUGACUUGCUUGUCUAUUUGGCUGUUUCUUUGGUUCUUUCUUAUUCUUCCUCUCUUUCUACUUUUCUGUUCAUUUUGAAUAGUAUGGUGGUGGUGUUUAUUUGUUUUUCAGGUUUUUCGUUCAAAACAUCAUUGUUUGAUUUUAUGUAGUUUUAUUAAAUU